UACGUAGGGACCGAGCGUUGUCCGGAUUCAUUGGGCGUAAAGAGCUCGUAGGCGGCUGUUCAAGUCGAACGUGAAAACUCGGAGCUCAACUCCGAGCCUGCGUUCGAUACUGGACGGCUAGAGUCUGGUAGGGGGAUCUGGAAUUCCUGGUGUAGCGGUGGAAUGCGCAGAUAUCAGGAGGAACACCAACGGCGAAGGCAGCUCGCUGGGACGGUACUGACGCUGAGGCGCGAAAGCGUGGGGAGCGAACAGG
rnacentral:rRNA from 1 species